rnacentral:rRNA from 1 species
AGUGAACGCUGGCGGUAGGCCUAACACAUGCAAGUCGAACGGCAGCACAGUAAGAGCUUGCUCUUACGGGUGGCGAGUGGCGGACGGGUGAGGAAUACAUCGGAAUCUACUUUUUCGUGGGGGAUAACGUAGGGAAACUUACGCUAAUACCGCAUACGACCUACGGGUGAAAGCAGGGGAUCUUCGGACCUUGCGCGAUUGAAUGAGCCGAUGUCGGAUUAGCUAGUUGGCGGGGUAAAGGCCCACCAAGGCGACGAUCCGUAGCUGGUCUGAGAGGAUGAUCAGCCACACUGGAACUGAGACACGGUCCAGACUCCUACGGGAGGCAGCAGUGGGGAAUAGUGGACAAUGGGCGCAAGCCUGAUCCAGCCAUACCGCGUGGGUGAAGAAGGCCUUCGGGUUGUAAAGCCCUUUUGUUGGGAAAGAAAAGCAGCAGGUUAAUACCCCGCUGUUCUGACGGUACCCAAAGAAUAAGCACCGGCUAACUUC